GAGUUGUUCGAUCAGUCGCUAGAGCAGUUGACUUUUAAUCAAUGGGUCGCAGGUUCGAACCCUGUACGACCCGCCA
rnacentral:tRNA from 1 species